rnacentral:rRNA from 1 species
AGGACGAACGCUGGCGGCGUGCUUAACACAUGCAAGUCGAGCGACGCUCCUCCUUCGGGAGGAUGACGGAGCGGCGAACGGGUGAGUAACACGUGGGCAACCUGCCCCUAGCUCUGGGAUAAGCCCGGGAAACCGGGUCUAAUACCGGAUAUGAGUUCGGAAGGCAUCUUCUGAUCUGGAAAGUUUUUUCGGCUAGGGAUGGGCCCGCGGCCUAUCAGCUUGUUGGUGAGGUAACGGCCCACCAAGGCGACGACGGGUA